GACGAACGCUGGCGGCGUGCUUAACACAUGCAAGUCGAACGCUGAAGCUUGGUGCUUGCACUGGGUGGAUGAGUGGCGAACGGGUGAGUAAUACGUGAGUACCCUGCCCUUGACUCUGGGAUAAGCAUGGGAAACUGGGUCUAAUACUGGAUACGACAUUUCACCGCAUGGUGGUGUGUGGAACGUGUUUUGCUGGUUUUGGAUGGGCUCACGGCCUAUCCGCUUGUUGGUGGGGUAAUGGCUCACCAAGGCGACGACGGGUAGCCGGCCUGAGAGGGUGACCGGCCACACUGGGACUGAGACACGGCCCAGACUCCUACGGGAGGCAGCAGUGGGGAAUAUUGCACAAUGGGCGGAAGCCUGAUGCAGCGACGCCGCGUGAGGGAUGACGGCCUUCGGGUUGUAAACCUCUUUCAGCACGGACGAAGCGAAAGUGACGGUACGUGCAGAAGAAGCGCCGGCUAACUACGUG
rnacentral:rRNA from 1 species